rnacentral:rRNA from 1 species
GACGAACGCUGGCGGCGUGCUUAACACAUGCAAGUCGAACGGAAAGGCCCUGCUUUUGUGGGGUGCUCGAGUGGCGAACGGGUGAGUAACACGUGAGUAACCUGCCCUUGACUUUGGGAUAACUUCAGGAAACUGGGGCUAAUACCGGAUAGGAGCUCCUGCUGCAUGGUGGGGGUUGGAAAGUUUCGGCGGUUGGGGAUGGACUCGCGGCUUAUCAGCUUGUUGGUGGGGUAGUGGCUUACCAAGGCUUUGACGGGUAGCCGGCCUGAGAGGGUGACCGGCCACAUUGGGACUGAGAUACGGCACAGACUCCUACGGGAGGCAGCAGUGGGGAAUAUUGCACAAUGGGCGGAAGCCUGAUGCAGCAACGCCGCGUGCGGGAUGACGGCCUUCGGGUUGUAAAACGCUUUCGCCUGUGACGAAGCGUGAGUGACGGUAAUGGGUAAAGAAGCACCGGCUAACUACGUG